UUAAUUUGCCGAUAGUUUAAUCAAAACGGGGCCAUAGCCUGUUCCAGGCUCUCGGUAGUUGGAGUCCUCCCUCGUUUUUUCUCUCGCUUGCCCUCUUUUUUUCGCUCGUCCCUAACUGCCGAAGCUUGGAACAGGCUAAUGGGGUCCAUAAAAUUUUCAGUCAUCACUAUUAGUCAUUAAUUUUAUCUCGUCGUUCCGAAACAUUUUCUUUAUUCGACUUACAUGCCCCCCUGGAUAUAAGCCCUCCGUUUAUAAGCCCGCCCAAAACCCCUUUUGAAGUUAUAUAAGCCUAGGGGUUUAACAUGGAAUUUUUCCGUAAUCAAUUAUCAGCAUCAAUGAAUAAUCAAUGGCAUCAAUGAGUAAUUAAUAGGCCAUAAAAUUUUUGGUCAUCGAUAUAUUAAAGUCAUCAAUUACUAAUUGAUCAUCGCUAAUUAGCCUAAUUGUUUGGGUUUCAAGUCUAUGUCUGGGUACACUAAAAUUAAUCUUACAUGACGGGAUGAACUUAACAGGCAGAUCACGAGACCAGUUGCUUGGCUCUGUUCUUUGAACGUAAUAACUGAACGAACGGUCGGGUACGAUUUCCUAGGGGCGAUCGGCGGCUUUAACAGAGUGCAAGGAACCUUCAGUGUAUCAUCUUCUAAAUAGUUAGGGUCAAAUUUCCUCUAAGACUCCUUCAAAUGUCAGGACUUGAGUAUCUCAUCCAUUUACAGUUCAAAGCUGUAGCAUUGGUGUGGCUGUAUAGAGAGCCAGUUCCUAAACCAGUGGCUACACAGAGCUGAGUUAAUAAUUUCUGUGCAACAAAAAUGCCAGGUUACCCUAUAUUGGAAGGGGACAAGCAGAACCUCGAAGACAAGUUUAUCUGUGAAUACUGUCAAUCUGUGUUGAGGGAUGCAACAAGGGCAAGCUGUGGCCACUUCUUCUGUAGUUCCUGUGUAAAGCAUCUUUUCCU